rnacentral:lncRNA from 1 species
UACAUGGAUUAUAGGUACCGACAUGGUUGUCCAAUAAUUUUUUUUUUCAAUUGAACAGUUGAUUUGACGAAAGGGAAGAGGAAAGUAGAUGAAUCAUUUGCCUCUUCAAAAAGAGGAAAGCAACGAUGAAUCAAGCCAAAUCUAUUUGCACGAUAACACGAAGCCAUAUUAUGUUUCGACAUCGCCUCAACAAACCUGAUUUGGUUGAUUGUGGGAUUUUUGUCUUGUAUAUGGCAAGGCAGUUGUGCAUGCAACAACCAUUAGUGAGAAAACUGCAGCAAGUGUGAUAUCGCACUCGAAAAACUUUUAAUUAUCAGUUCUUGAACGACGAGGAUACCGUUG